UUGACGGUUGUGUAUUGAUUUUUUGAAAUUUAUAUAUUUUUACUCUUUAAGUUUUUAAUAUUAAUAAAAAAAUGAGAUGACAUCCGCACAUGCGACUCUAGUUGCUUUAUCUUUAUUAAUUAAUAACAUAACAUAUUUAUACGAUAAAUCUGUAACUGACGAUACGCUAUUUACAACAAAAAUAGUUUUUAUACUCAGUGUAUGUUUGCUAUUACAUGAAAUACCAAUUCUGCCGAGAUAUUUCUGGAAUAGAAACACAACAAUAUCCUUUUUAAUAGAGAAACCGUUUCUAUCUUACUUUACAGGUAGCAAUAUCUUUAGCUGUAUUAGAAUAUUC